UAAUACAUAGGGUGCGAGCGUUGUUCGGAAUUACUGGGCGUAAAGGGCGCGCAGGCGGAAUAGUAAGUCGGAGGUGAAAGCCCGGGGCUCAACCCCGGAGGGUCUUUCGAAACUGCUAAUCUAGAGAGGGUCAGGGGCCGGCAGAAUUCCUGGUGUAGAGGUGAAAUUCGUAGAUAUCAGGAGGAAUACCGGUGGCGAAGGCGGCCGGCUGGGGCCACUCUGACGCUGAGGCGCGAAAGCGUAGGGAGCGAACAGGAUUAGAUACCCUGGUAGUCCACGCCGUAAACGAUGAGUACUUGAUGUCGGGGGAUUCGACCCCUUCGGUGUCGUAGCUAACGCGAUAAGUACUCCGCCUGGGGACUACGACCGCAAGGUUG
rnacentral:rRNA from 1 species